rnacentral:rRNA from 1 species
UGGGGAAUAUUGCACAAUGGGCGCAAGCCUGAUGCAGCGACGCCGCGUGAAGGAUGAAGGUCUUCGGAUUGUAAACUUCUAUCAGCAGGGAGGAACCAAUGACGGUACCUGACUAAGAAGCCCCGGCUAACUACGUGCCAGCAGCCGCGGUAAUACGUAGGGGGCAAGCGUUAUCCGGAAUUACUGGGUGUAAAGGGUGCGUAGGUGGCAUGGUAAGUCAGAUGUGAAAACUUGGGGCUCAACUUCAAGAUUGCAGCUGAAACUGCUAAGCUAGAGUGCAGGAGAGGAAAGCGGAAUUCCGAGUGUAGCGGUGAAAUGCGUAGAGAUUCGGAGGAACACCAGUAGCGAAGGCGGCUUUCUGGACUGUAACUGACACUGAGGCACGAAAGCGUGGGGAGCGAACA